UCAGGACGAACGCUGGCGGCGUGCUUAACACAUGCAAGUCUACGAGAAAAGGGUAGCAAUAUCNUGAGUAAAGUGGCGCACGGGUGAGUAACACGUAGGCAAUCUGCCUUUAGGACGGGAACAACCUCGAGAAAUCGAGGCUAAUACCCGAUGAAGCAGCGGCACCGCAUGGUGACAGUUGUUAAAGUUUCGAUGACCUAGGAUGAGCAUGCGUCCCAUUAGGUAGUUGGUGAGGUAACGGCUCACCAAGCCCGCGAUGGGUAGCUGGUCUGAGAGGAUGAUCAGCCACACUGGGACUGAGACACGGCCCAGACUCCUACGGGAGGCAGCAGUGAGGAAUAUUGCGCAAUGGAGGAAACUCUGACGCAGCAACGCCGCGUGCGGGAUGAAGGCUCACGGGUCGUAAACCCCUUUUCUCAGGGAAGAAAAAAAUGACGGUACUUGAGGAAUAAGCAUCGGCCAACUACGUGCCAGCAGCCGCGGUAAUACGUAGGAUGCAAGCGUUAUCCGGAUUUACUGGGCGUAAAGAGCGCGCGGGCGGUCCUUUAAGUUAGAUGUGAAAACUCUCAGCUUAACUGAGAGAGGCCAUUUAAUACUGGGGGGCUUGAGUCCUGGAGAGGGUAGCGGAAUUCCCGGUGUAGCGGUGAAAUGCGUAGAGACCGGGAAGAACACCAGUGGCGAAGGCGGCUACCUGGACAGGUACUGACGCUGAAGCGCGAAAGCUAGGGGAGCAAACAGGAUUAGAUACCCUGGUAGUC
rnacentral:rRNA from 1 species